AGCCCGAGAGGACCGCCCACGCGAAGCGCUAUGGCGCGUGCUCCACCCCCGCGCGCCGCCGGCCCGCCCCAGAGUUCCCCGCGCGCGGUCAUUGACCUCAGGCUCGCGGUAGCUGUUCGUCCUCGCGUACCCGGCCGUGAGAGAGAGAAAGCGCUGGACAAGUGGCGGGACUCGGCCUCGGUGCAGAUAUAAGGAGAAGUCAGCAGUCUAUAAGUCAGAAAACUUUCCUUACCAGAACUCAACCGUACUGGCACCCUGCUCUUGAACUUCCAGUCUCCAGAACUUUUGUGAAGCACUGCUGUAUACAUCAUUCUACUGAAUGAAGACCUGAAUGCCUCAGACACUUCUAGCACCAAGCUUCAUGAUCUUUAAGGUCUUGGAUGAACUGGUAUAGUGAAAAGAAAAUAAGGUAACCUUGGACUUCACUAGGUCAUAAUUUCUGUGUUAUGCAAUGAAGUAAUUCACUGCAUUGGUCUAGCUCUCGGGGUGAUCAAGAGGGCAGGUUAAUAAAUCUUCCCGGCAGGGAGAGGAAAAUAUUAGGUGUUUUAAUGUCUAUUCUUCUGCAAAAUUAAUCAGUUACUUGCUAUUUCCUUAAAUAAAUUAUUUUUCAGAAUACUUAUAGCCAAAGUUUUGUAAGUCCAAUCACGGACACUAGAUGGCACCAUAAGAACCUCACCUGCACCAAUUCCUGACAGUCCAACAGCUCUUUCUCACAAUUUACAGCCUGAAGAUUUUUAACAUAGAGUCUGGGGUGAAGAAAACUUAGAGAAAAGUUCUUUCAUUUCUAUGUAGAGACUAUAAGUUUUCUCUCUAAGAGGUUGAUCUCCUACUGUGAAUAGUACGCAGAGGAUCAAGACUCUCAUGGGAAACUACAGACAGCGUGGAUCAAGUCAGGAGACGUGGUCUGCGUCCCAGUGCCGAUGCUUCGCAGCUGGUUUUCGCGGAGAAAGUCUAUUUCCUGCCCCGUAUGCAUCUCAUAGGAUUGCUGGGAGGACCAUACAGAGUCAUGGAUGAGAACUGCCACGUGCUACAGUUAAAAACCAAGGUUCUUUCUACCUCUGCAGCCCCUCUUCCCGGGAGGCUCCUGCCUUGCACCAGCUCCGGGCCUCUGCUACCCGGGCCCCUGCCUGCUCUGUUUUCAACCACAAGCUCACUCCUCAAGCAUCUGUAAAGGACUCUGACAUCAGAUCUGUUUUUCAACUUUCACUCAAGCAGCUGGAACUCAUGCUUCUUCGUGUCCUCCACACCAGUGGUGUUCAGCUUCUCUUCAGUAGUCCUGUGGCUACUCGUCAUCACCUGGAAGUGAACCCCGUAAAACCGUCAGCUUCACCUCCCAUUGUUCCACAAGUCAUCCCUCCUUUCCCCUCCCCACCUGCUCAUCCCUUUCACUGUGAUUCCAGCUCCUCCGCGUCUUCCUUCUCUCCCUGUUCAUCAGCCCCCGCUUCUCUGCGCAUAGAGCCCCUCUUUCUCUUCUCACCUAGGCUCUUUACUCUCCCACCAGCACCUACGCCUCCCUCACCCCAGUCCUCCGAGGCCUCCAGCCCUCAGGCCGCCACGGGACCAGUGCAGCCCUUGGUUUGAGGCAGGGCAGAGCGCCAAGUGGAAGAGCACAGGCGUAGAAUUGUUUUAUUGCUCUGACAGUAAACAGCUGCGUAAGUAACUCUGCCCACAUUACUGACCCCUCUGAGCAUCGGCGGUGGGUAUUUUCGGAGGAUGAAGACAUCUACCCACAGGAGAAUUAAGGGAGUUAGUAGGGCAUGGCUGCAUGCUCGCCCCGGCCCAGCUGGGGAUCGCUCAUCAGAUCAGAACGUCCGCACCUUGCUGGCUCAUCAGAGGGGCGGUGAGGGGCAGGCUCCCAUGCUGGUUUCCCUGGUAACCGAUGAGCCACGCUGACGUCAAUUCCCCCUGUAACUGGUAAGCUCCCUCUCCCCGUGGGAGUGAAGACGGCCGCUGUCUGCCCCACAGGGUGGGGAGUCACGCCCGGACCUCGCUUCCCACAGGAGGCCCUCUGCAUCUGUGGGUUCCAUAUCCUCGGAUACAGAAGACCGACUGUACCACACCAUUUAAUACAAGGGACUUGAGCACCCGUAGAGUUUGAUAUCCUUUGGGGGUCCUGGAACAGAUCCCCCAAGGAUCCCCAGGGAUGACUGUAUGCCACCUAUCAGAAGUGUGAAGACUUCACUUGAGCAACGAACAACCCUCUUUGCUCUUGAGACCAAAGAGUUGCUGUGAGGGAACAUGGAAUUGAGGUUGCCUGCAGUUGCAUCGAGGGACCAAACGUAUGGGUGGAUGCUGAGAAACAGUUAGAAUGCUCCUGUAAAGAAAAGUGGCUGGCGGAUAGUGGAUCAUUAAUUACCAGGUCUCUCUGACUGGAUGAAUAUGUCGGGGUAUCAUUAACUUCAGGAAGCUUCUCUCCCCAGGACUACAUCUAAAAACUUGGUCUCUUCAAGUCCUGGAUCAAUAAAAAAGAAGGAAGAAAAUCAUCACACUAUGAGAUUCUUUGCUUCUUCAAGAAGGUUAACAGCUGAGCAUGGCUUUCACUAUCAACCUGUGAUUCGGAAUUCCUUUGAUAUUAGUAUGAGCACUGUUCUAGUCACAACAAUAUAAGACCCACACUCCUUCCCACAGGAGCUUGAAAUCCAGUAAAGAAAUAAACGUGAUGAAGAUUUUUGUUAAGCAUAACGAACUGAAAUCAAAAGGAGGUUCUUGCUGAUUUCGGCUAAGAGAAUGUAGAAACCUGUGGAAGGCGUCUCAAAAAAGCAGCAGGUGUAACUGGGACUAUCUGAUGGCUGAUCCAAGGACCUCCGCCAAGCAGAGGGUACGACUCAGAGGAGAGGUCCCAGCCCCCGUUCACCUCCUCAGUCAGGUGCCCUGAGCAAGGCGCGUACUGGACAAUUCUACACAAAAGUUGGACCAAUAGCAAAACAACAAAACAAAAGCACUGCCCUCCCAUUCUGGGCAAAAUCCCAAACUCCCAGGGAGUCAUAAAUGUGUCUACUUGGAAUCACAUAUGGGAAGUUCCAGAACAUUCAUGCAGCUUUUCAGGUCUUCGCCCCCACUGUCAGUUUGCACCAGCUGCUUCUCAUCACCUAGCCCUGGGGUCCUUCCCAUGAAGCUCGGUCCAACAGAGAAGCCAGCACCCAAAGGAAGUCCAUGUACACACUGAGCAGUGGACAAGAGCCGAGACUUGAAGAGAGUGGUAUUUUCUCCAGAGACACCGGAUAGGAAUAUAACUUGAUCGUCCACAUGUGGUCCACUCAUCCACGCUGGCUUUGAAUCACACUCAUUCCACGCUGAGCUCUUGUUUCCUCAAGCGCAUUCUAUGGUCUUCCAGUGCAGACAGACGGCAUGCACUUCUGGUGGUUCUACACAGCCUUCUGGUCCAGGGCUGAUUGAAUAUGUCUGUAGGCUAGAGGCCUGACACGGGCUCCACUGGGCUACAAUCAAAGUGUUGGCAGGGCCACGUUCCCCUCUGGAGGCUCUAGGGGAGAAUCUGUUCCCUCACCUUUUCCAGCUUCCAGAGGCCACCCACAUUCUUUGGCUUGUGGCUCCUUCCUGAAACUGCAGUAACUUCCUUCCUGUAUCUGCUGUAAGUAACCAACGCCAGCAGUGUUGCAUCUGUCUCUGACUGUCCUUCCAUACCUCACAUUUCCCUCUGACUGACACUCUCCCAAGUCCCUCUUCCACUUUAAGGACCCUUGUGAUUAUGUUGGGCCCACCUGCAGAACCCAGACUACUCUCCCUAUUUCAAGGUCAGUGGAUUAGUCCCUUAAUUCCACCUGCAACCUUAUUCUCCUUUGCCAUUUAACCCAACAUAUUUACAGGUUCUGGGGAUUAGGAUGCAGGAUUCUCCCUACACACAUUAAAUACACAUGUAAAUACACAUUAAAUACACCGUUUAAUAUUUUUGUGACAGUACAAUAAUUGUCAUUCAGUUGCCUUAAUCUACAGAACUUAUCUCUGAUCUAUAUAAAACAUAUUAAACUAGCCAGAUGCGAUAGUAAA